rnacentral:rRNA from 1 species
UACAGAGGUCUCAAGCGUUUGUUCGGAUUCAUUGGGCGUAAAGGGUGCGUAGGCGGCGCGGUAAGUCGGGUGUGAAAUCUCGGAGCUUAACUCCGAAACUGCAUUCGAUACUGCCGUGCUUGAGGACUGGAGAGGAGACUGGAAUUUACGGUGUAGCGGUGAAAUGCGUAGAUAUCGUAAGGAAGACCAGUGGCGAAGGCGG